rnacentral:rRNA from 1 species
GUAGGUGGCAAGCGUUGUCCGGAAUUAUUGGGCGUAAAGCGCGCGCAGGCGGUCCUUUAAGUCUGAUGUGAAAGCCCACGGCUCAACCGUGGAGGGUCAUUGGAAACUGGGGGACUUGAGUACAGAAGAGGAAAGCGGAAUUCCUAGUGUAGCGGUGAAAUGCGUAGAGAUUUGGAGGAACACCAGUGGCGAAGGCGGCUUUCUGGUCUGUAACUGACGCUGAGGCGCGAAAGCGUGGGGAGCAAACAGGGAUUAGAUACCCUGGUAGUCCACGCCGUAAACGAUGAGUGCUAAGUGUUAGGGGGUUUCCCGCCCCUUAGUGCUGCAGCUAACGCAUUAAGCACUCCGCCUGGGGAGUACGGCCGCAAGGCUG